rnacentral:siRNA from 1 species
AUGCCUAUUGGACAACCCAUUUGG